CUCAAACAAUGUGAAUUUGAACCCAUGGAAGGAGAGACCAAGUUCUGUGCCACUUCGUUGGAGUCCUUGUUUGAUUUUGCGCACUAUCUGUUUGGGUCCAAUGCACAAUUCAAAGUUCUGACCACUGUCCAUCUCACAAAUUCAACAGCCCUGCUACAGAACUACACAAUCUCAGAAGUGAAAGUGAUUUCAGUUCCAAAUGUUAUAGGGUGUCACCCCAUGCCUUACCCUUAUGCAGUUUUUUACUGCCACAGUCAGCAUAGUGACACCAAUCUCUAUGAGGUGAUGGUAGAAGGUGAGAAUGGAGGGAGAGUUCAAGCUGCAGCUAUUUGCCACAUGGACACCUCUAAGUGGGACCGGGACCACGUGUCCUUUCGU
rnacentral:lncRNA from 1 species